GGGCCUAUAGCUCAGUUGGUUAGAGCAUCGGACUCAUAAUCCGUGGGUCGUAGGUUCAAGUCCUACUGGGCCCA
rnacentral:tRNA from 2 species